rnacentral:lncRNA from 1 species
CGCGCCUCCCUCGCCCCGCGCUCGGGGCGCCGCUCGCUCCCAGCGCCCCGCGGACGCCGGUUCCACCCUCGGCUGCGAAAGCCGCCGCCCCGCGCCUCCCCCGCCCGGCCCGGCCCGGCCCGGCCCUUGUCCCAGCCCGGCUCCCCCGCCAGCUGCGCCGCCACCGCAGCACGUGACCCGCCCCCGUCGCGGCUUCCGCUGAGCUGCCUGUUCCGGAGCACAAACAAUUUCUGCUCUGACGCGGGGUCUCUCGGGCCCUGGCGUCCUCUCCUCCCUGCCCCCCCCCCCCCUUCCGGGUCGCUAGUUGGGCAACCUGAAAUGAGGACAAGUUUCACUUCAAGUUACCUGAAAGUGAACUUUCGCCUUUCCAAUUUGAUUCCUCCAACAUCUGUUGAAUGGCUCUCGGUCCUGGUCUGGAGGGACCAGCAGGACCCUGUGACCUCAACUUGUGGCCAGCCCAGGUUGGAAGCAUCAGGUGAUUUCCAAGGAGGCCACAGACUUCCAUCCCACGUGGCCAGGUCGUAGCAGAGAGCAGCCUUGCCGAAACUCACUUACCCCUUGUGCAGGGGGGCCUGGUGACAAGUGAUGCUGAACUGGAGGUUCGGGAUGCUAAUUUUAUUUAUUAUCUGUGUACAGCUUGGGGAGGAGAAAAGGCUCAUAAAAGUGUUCUAGGCUGGUCAUUCUGAAUGUGAACAUUUAUUUAUCUGCAAAACUGCCGAAUGUCCCCGCAGGAAGUCGCGGGCGCAGCAACCCCUGACUGCACAGACAAAAGUCUCCCCUUUACACAGGGCUGCUUUUAUUGUUUCCAACAGCUUUGUGCUUUCCCUGGGGGAAAAGGAGAGUCACAUAGCGAGUUUUCUUCCUCUUUUCUCACGCUGCAG